AAGAUACUCCCUCCAUCCGAAAAAGCUUGUCCCUCAAAUGGAUGUAUCUAGCAUCAAGUUAGUGCUAGAUACAUUCAUUUGAGCAACAAGCUUGGGACAAGUUUUUUCAGACGGAGGGAGUACAAG
rnacentral:pre_miRNA from 1 species